AUUUAUUUUCUUUUCUUCACUUCACUGUUCUACUAAACAUAUUCAUACGCACAGAGUUGCAUUUUCCAACGCCGAUCUAAAAGAAUCGACUCAGCAAAAAUCAACACAAACUUGGCACUACCUUUUUUUCACAAAUCAGGAGACCUGCAUAUCCGGCUCAUUUUCAGUUUGGCGUUCGAUCAUUGCCGGUUAAAACUAAUGCCGGCUUGUUUAUUUUAUUGCGCCAUGGCAUUUAUUUAUUGUGAACACCACCGCAACAAAACUUCGAAAUUGGCAAGUGUAUCGCAGAAAAUUUCGAUGUGCGGGGUUUCUGUUCUUGCCAGUCUAUUUUCUUUUACCUACAUAAAAAUGGAACUAUGAAAAAUCUUCGUUUUUCUGUGAAAAUUCAUGUGUGGACCUGAGGAAUUAAUCAGAUUACCCUCGGGACGCAUAUUCAAUGUUUUUGGUGUCUCAUUGACUUGGAGGUGUCUCAAUUACCAUGUGGUGUCUCAGCUAUCACCGUUAAUGCAGGUAUACAUGUAUGUGUACCCACGCUUCAUUCAAUGAAGCGCUGUCGGCGCCACAUAAUCUGCAUCAUCUUGUGUGUGUGAGUGCCCAUUUGUCUUCUUCUCAUUCACACACAUACUUGCUUGCAUUACUCUACUCCAAUUAGAGUUUCGUUAACGCAGCAUGUGUGCAUUCACCGCAUGCAUACCAUUCAACCUACGGAUGAUGGUCGUCUCAUUCACACACAUACCUGCUUACAUUACUCUACUCCCAUUAGAGUUUCGUAAACGCAACAUGUAUGUAUUCAAUGAAUGAACGAUUUUUGGAGAACGCAUUUGACUGAGGUUAUGAAUGGAUUUCAUCUACUAUCAACGCAUUAUUUGAAUCGAUUGGGACAUUGGAAAACAAGUGACCACACAAGCAUACUGCUCAUCACGGUAUACCAUAGGGGAACUUGUUACACCUAAACGUGCAAUGAAUUCUCUUAGCACACAGGUAUUUUCCGUUCGAGGUCAUAUUGGACGCAAACACGUCAUUUAUGGUUCUUGUUACUUUGUGCCCAAAUUAUCUGCACAGCUUGGACCGAUAACUCUAUGAGUGGACGUA